CGGCGACCGGCGCACGGGUGCGUAACGCGUAUGUAACCUACCUUUGACAGGGGGAUAACAUCGAGAAAUUGGUACUAAUACCCCAUAACAUCACCGGAGGCAUCUUCGGUGGUUGAAAACUCAGGUGGUCAGAGAUGGACAUGCGUUGUAUUAGCUAGUUGGUGAGGUAACGGCUCACCAAGGCGACGAUACAUAGGGGGACUGAGAGGUCAACCCCCCACAUUGGUACUGAGACACGGACCAAACUCCUACGGAAGGCAGCAG
rnacentral:rRNA from 1 species